CUCUUUCUCCUCCAUAAAAUUUUCUGAGAAAUCUCUUUUUCUUUCUCUCGUGAUUAAUAAGAAAGAGAUUGACCAAUUCACGGUAAUAAAUCAUAAAUCUGCAAAUUAAACCCAUAAAUCUCUUUUCUGCUAAAAUUUGGCUACACACUCCCCAUUUCUCCAUCGUUUUUGGGUUUGAGUUCAGGAUAUGACGAUGGAGUGGAUUCUUUUUUAGUAGGUCGCAUGCUUCUUUUUCGUAUCUUUUCUUCCUUUGCCAAUAUUGAUUUGGUUGGUCGCUUGCAUCUUCCAAGUAUGUUUCAAUUGAAUUGCUAGUUGAUGAUGGACUUGUCAUUGAAAAAAUAAUUUACUUCGAUUGUUUUCUGUUGAA